UCCGGCUCGGGCUGGGCAGCCCCGGGCCAGCAUGCCACCCUCUCUGGUCGCCGCGGCGGCAGCGGCAGACCUUGCCUCCCCCCCCCCCUCCUCCUCCACCCCCAUUUUGGUAAUUCUUCAGCCUCGGGCUUCUUAGCCUCGCUCCCUCCCCUUGAUCCAUGCUGACGCCCCUCGGGAUCUGGGAGAGCCAUGGCGAGCCAGGGGGACUGCUGUGUCAAGGUGGCGGUGAGGAUCCGACCCCAGCUGUCGAAGGAGAAGAUCGAGGGCUGCCACAUCUGCACGUCGGUCACCCCGGGGGAGCCCCAGGUGUUGCUGGGAAAGGACAAGGCCUUCACAUAUGACUUCGUCUUUGACCUGGACACCUUGCAGGAACAGAUCUACACAGCGUGCGUGGGGAAGCUCAUCGAGGGAUGCUUUGAGGGCUACAAUGCCACCGUGCUGGCAUAUGGUCAGACCGGGGCUGGGAAGACCUACACAAUGGGCACAGGCUUUGACGUGAGCACGGCAGAGGACGAACAUGGCAUUAUCCCACGUGCCAUCACCCACCUCUUCGGGGGCAUCGAGGAGCGGAAACGGCGGGCUCAGGAGCAGGGUCUGGUCGGGCCAGAAUUCAAAGUCAGCGCCCAGUUCCUGGAGCUGUACAAUGAGGAAAUCCUGGACCUGUUCGACAGUACCCGGGACCCAGACUCCCGACACCGUAAAUCCAACAUCAAGAUCCACGAGGAUGCCAGCGGUGGCAUUUAUACUACGGGUGUCACCUCGCGGCUUAUUGGCUCUCAGGAGGAGCUAAUCCAGUGUCUGAAGCAGGGGGCCCUGUCCCGCACCACUGCCAGCACCCAGAUGAAUGUGCAGAGCUCCCGCUCCCAUGCCAUCUUCACCAUCCACCUGUGCCAGAUGCGCCUCUGUGCCCGGCCCGACCUGGUGAAUGGAGAGGGGCCUGGGCUUCCGGAGGGCUCAGCUCCCAGCAGUGAGUACGAGACCCUCACAGCCAAAUUCCACUUUGUGGAUCUGGCAGGCUCAGAGAGGCUGAAGAGGACAGGGGCCACGGGCGAACGGGCCAAAGAAGGCAUCUCCAUCAACUGCGGCCUGCUGGCCCUGGGCAAUGUGAUCAGUGCCCUGGGUGACCAGAGCAAGAAGGUGGUCCACGUCCCGUACCGAGACUCCAAGCUCACCCGCCUCCUGCAGGACUCACUAGGAGGCAACAGCCAGACCAUCAUGAUCGCCUGCGUGAGCCCCUCGGACCGGGACUUUAUGGAAACGCUCAACACCCUCAAGUACGCCAAUCGGGCCCGCAACAUCAAGAACAAAGUGGUGGUCAACCAGGACAAGACCAGCCAGCAGAUCAGCGCCCUUCGGGCCGAGAUAGCCCGCCUGCAGAUGGAGCUGCUGGAGUACAAGACGGGCAAGCGGGUGCUGGGUGAGGACGGCGCAGAGGGCUACAGUGACCUGUACCGGGAGAAUGCGAUGCUGCAGAAGGAGAAUGCGGCCCUGCGCCUGCGGGUCAAGGCCAUGCAAGAAGCCAUCGAUGCCAUCAACAGCCGCGUUACCCACCUCAUGAGCCAAGAGGCCAACUUGCUCCUUGCCAAGGCUGGUGACGGCAAUGAGGCCAUUGGGGCCUUAAUUCAGAAUUACAUCCGGGAGAUCGAGGAACUGCGAACAAAGCUCCUGGAGAGUGAGGCCAUGAAUGAAUCUCUGCGACGAAGCCUCUCUCGGGCAUCUGCUCGCGGCCCCUACUCCUUGGGGGGCUCCCCGGCUCCCUCUGGUCUCGGGAUGCUGGGCAGCCCAGCAGGAUCCAUGGAGGCAGAGGCCUCUGAAGUGAUCCGCAAGGCCAAGCAAGACCUGGAACGACUGAAGGAGACCAGGCAGAGAAGAAAGAGCCCAGAGAAGGAGGGAUUUAAGAAGAGAGCAAAACUACAGCAGGAGAACCGAGAGGAGUCAGACGAGAACGAGGAGGAGGAGGAAGAGGAGGAGGAGCCAGACGAGAGCGGCUGUGAGGAAGAGGAAGGGCGAGAAGAUGAAGACUCGGACUCAGCCAGUGAGGAAAGCCUAGUGGACUCAGACUCGGACCCCGAGGAAAAGGAGGUGACCUUCCAGGCUGACCUGGCCGACCUGACCUGUGAGAUCGAGAUCAAGCAGAAGCUGAUUGAUGAGCUGGAGAAUAGUCAGCGGCGGCUGCAGACACUCAAGCACCAGUAUGAGGAGAAGCUCGUCCUGCUGCAGAACAAGAUCCGGGACACCCAGCUGGAGAGGGACCGCGUGCUCCAGAACCUCAGUACCAUGGAGUGCUACACAGAGGAGAAGGCCAACAAGAUCAAGGCCGACUACGAGAAGCGUCUGCGAGAGAUGAACCGGGACCUGCAGAAACUGCAGGCGGCACAGAGAGAGCACACCAGGCUGCUCAAAAACCAGUCACGCUACGAGAGGGAGCUGAAGAAGCUGCAGGCUGAAGUGGCCGAGAUGAAGAAAGCCAAGGUGGCCCUGAUGAAACAAAUGAGGGAGGAGCAGCAGCGGCGCCGCUUGGUGGAAACCAAAAGGAACCGUGAGAUUGCGCAGCUCAAGAAGGAGCAGCGACGGCAGGAGUUCCAGAUCCGAGCCCUGGAGUCCCAGAAGCGGCAGCAGGAGAUUGUGCUAAGGAGGAAAACCCAAGAGGUGACAGCCCUGCGGCGACUGGCCAAACCCAUGUCGGACCGGGUGGCGGGACGGGCGGGCCUCAAGCCACCCAUGCUGGACUCUGGGGCUGAGGUGUCGGCCAGCACCACCUCGUCAGAUGCAGAAGCAGGAGGCCGCUCUGUCUCCAGUAUCGUGCGCCAGUGGAACCGCAAAAUCAACCACUUCCUGGGGGACCCCGGACCCUCUGUGAAUGGCAUCCGCCCGGCCAGGAAGAAGCCUCAGAAGAAGGGGCCCGGCCAGAGCUUCAGCAAGGCCGCCCGACUCAAGUGGCAGUCCCUGGAGCGGCGCAUCCUGGACAUCGUCAUGCAGCGGAUGACCAUCGUCAACCUGGAGGCCGACAUGGAGCGGCUCAUCCAGAAACGGGAGGAGCUGUCCCUGCUGCAGGAGACACUGCGCAGGAAGCGGGAGAAGCUGCAGGCGGAGAGUCCCGAGGAGGAGAAGGGCCUGCAGGAGCUGAGUGAGGAGAUCGAGGCCCUGACGGCCAACAUCGACUACAUCAACGACAGCAUCUCGGACUGUCAGGCCACCAUCGUGCAGCUGGAGGAGACCAAGGAGGAGCUGGACUCCACGGACACCUCAGUGGUCAUCAGCUCCUGCUCUCUGGCAGAAGCCCGCCUCCUACUGGACAACUUCCUCAAGGCAUCCAUUGACAAGGGGCUGCAGGUGGCCCAGAAGGAGGCCCAGAUCCGGCUGCUGGAGGGGCGGCUGAGGCAGACCGAUGUGACCGGGUCUUCCCAGAAUCACUUGAUCCUGGACGCGCUGCGGGAGAAGGCCGAGGCUCACCCGGAGCUGCAGGCUCUCAUCCACAAUGUGCAGCAAGAGAACGGCUAUGCCAGCACUGAUGAGGAGAUCUCUGAGUUCUCAGAGCCCAGCUUCUCCCAGUCAUUCACCAUGAAGGGUUCCACCAGCCAUGAUGACUUCAAGUUCAAGGGGGAGCCCAAGUUGUCGGUACAGAUGAAGGCUGUGUCAGCUGAGUGCCUGGGCCCCCCACUGGACAUCGCCACCAAGAACAUCACCAAGUCCCUGGCCUCGCUCACAGAAAUCAAGGAGGAUGCUGUGGGCUUCUCCGUCCGUGACUCCUGCUACCGGGACAGCGUCUCCCGCACCAUCAGCCUUCCCUCCCGCGGCAGCACCUUCCCCCGGCAGUCCCGCGCCUCGGACACCUCGCCCCUGACACGGAGGAAGUCCUAUGACCGCGGGCAGCCCAUCAGGUCUUCAGACGUGGGGUUCACUCCCCCCUCAUCCCCCCCAACCCGCCCCCGAAACGAUCGCAACGUCUUCUCACGUCUUACCAGUAACCAGAGCCAGGGCUCCGCACUGGACAAGUCUGACGACAGUGAUUCCUCUGUUUCGGAGGUCCUGAGGGGAAUCAUCAACCCGGUGGGCGGGGCCAAGAGCGCCCGGACGGCCCCGCUGCAGUGCAUCGCCGUGGCCGAGGGUCACACCAAGCCCAUCCUCUGCCUGGACGCCACCGACGAGCUCCUUUUCACUGGGUCCAAAGACCGCAGCUGUAAGAUGUGGAACCUGGUGACGGGGCAGGAGAUCGCCGCCCUCAAGGGCCACCCCAACAACGUGGUGUCCGUCAAGUUCUGCGCCCGCUCCAGCCUGGUGUUCUCCGUCUCCACCUCCUACAUCAAGGUCUGGGACAUCCGGGACUCCGCCCAGUGCGUGCGCACCUUAACGUCAUCUGGACAGGUGAUCUCAGGGGACGCCUGUGCCAGCACUUCCACCCGCCCCAUGACCAGCGCUCCUGGUGAGCAGCAGAUCAACCAGAUCGCCCUCAGCCCCUCAGGCACCACCCUGUACGCCGCCUCUGGAAACUCCGUCCGCAUCUGGGAGCUCAGCAGGUUCCAGCCCAUGGGGAAGCUGACAGGACACAUCGGGCCCGUGAUGUGCCUCACGGUGAACCAGACCUCCAGCCGCCAUGACCUGGUGGUGACCGGCUCCAAGGAUCACUACGUCAAGAUGUUUGAACUGGCUGAGGGAGUGGCCGGCAACGUGGGCCCCACUCACAACUUUGAGCCCCCACACUACGAUGGCAUCGAGUGCCUGGCCAUCCAGGGCAACCUGCUCUUCAGUGGGUCUCGGGACAACGGUGUCAAGAAGUGGGACUUGGAGCAACAGGAGCUUAUGCAGCAAAUCCCCAAUGCACACAAGGACUGGGUGUGUGCCCUGGCCUUCGUCCCCGGGCGUCCCAUGCUGCUCAGCGCCUGCCGUGGGGGCGUCAUUAAGGUGUGGAACGGGGACAACUUCACUCCCGUCGGUGAGAUCAAAGGUCAUGACAGCCCCAUCAAUGCCAUCUGCACCAAUUCCAGGCACAUCUUCACUGCCUCCAGUGACUGCCGGGUAAAGUUGUGGAGUUACGUGCCUGGACUCACCCCCUGCCUCCCGCGACGGGUCCUGGCCAUAAAGGGUCGAGCCACUAGCCUGCCUUGACCCUCCUCCCCCUCCCCCCUUCUCUCCAUUCUCUCUCUCCCUUUCCCUUUCCUUCUCUUUCUCCACUUCGGUCCAAGCUGCUUCUUAACGUGACUUGACGGUGAAGCUCUGGAGCGGAAGGCGUCUGCCCAAAGGCACGGGAUAGGAAGAACGGGGAGCGACAGGCGGGAUCAGAGAUGCAGCGCUCCACCGGCCCAUGUCACGCACAGCCUUCCUCAAGGUGUCCCCAGCGCUCCCCGAGCCCCCGGGAAGAGGCAACCCAGCUGGUCUGGUGCCCUUUCUGGGGCUCAGGGGCUCUGAUUCUGCUCCUCUGCCUCCUCUCCUGGGCUGGGGUCUGUGCUGGGACCCUCAGGGGUCCUCGGGGGGAGACAGGCUCGGGCUCAGUGAGACUAGGGGGCCAGAGGAGUAGGCGGAUACCAAGCUGUGAAGCCCAAGGGCCUUUUCCAUCCGCCUUCUCUCCCUUCCCUCCUCCCCUCAGGCCUCAUCCUGCUCUCCCAUUGAGCUGCCUAUUCCCCGCCACCCCCCCUGCUGAGCCACUGACCCUCUCACCCCUCUGCUGACCCCAGGGGAGCCAGGUGCUGCCCUCAGCCUGGCCUGAGACAGCCCAAGGCUGAACCCUCCCCCUUUCCCACCAUGGUCCCUUGUGGCCCCCUGAGCUGGAGAUGGAUCCUUGUCAGGAAAUCAGACUCUGACCUACAAGAGCUAAGGGCCACAAAGUUCACAGGAAAAGGGUCCCAAUCCUCAGAGACUGUCUUCCCAGCCUCAAGUAGGGGGUUGUCAUGUCUCAGAGCUCCCACCCGCCCCCUCCAACUGCCCCAGACCCUCCCCAAACCUCUCCGCCUGUGCCAGCUGCCUCUGAGCCAGCUUCUCCCCUCUGUGGGGGCCUGCUGUGAAUCUGAAAACUGAAUCCCCUCCCCUGCCUCCCCCUGCCCCCACCAUGCAUCACAUCCCCAGAACCACCAUACCCUGAGCCAUUUCCCAGACAUUUCCUGGAUGUUACCAGGGGUACCCGGGGACAGGGAUGAUAACCCGAGGUGGUAACCGGGGUAUCUCUCCCAGCAGACAUUGGCCCUGAGUUUUCCCUUCCUCCCCCACAUCUCCAGCAGGGCAGCCAAUGGAGUCCAGGGAGGUGAGGGGGAGAGGAAAGCUCAGGGAUAACCAUUUCCUAACUACAGAGCUGUCAGAAAGACGCUCCCUAGGAAAGGGGUGAGCAACUCCUGGGUUUGGGGCGGG